CCCGUUAUCCGGGUUGCGGACAGUGUCUGGUGGGUAGUUUGACUGGGGCGGUCUCCUCCUAAAGAGUAACGGAGGAGCACGAAGGUUGGCUAAUCCUGGUCGGACAUCAGGAGGUUAGUGCAAUGGCAUAAGCCAGCUUGACUGCGAGCGUGACGGCGCGAGCAGGUGCGAAAGCAGGUCAUAGUGAUCCGGUGGUUCUGAAUGGAAGGGCCAUCGCUCAACGGAUAAAAGGUACUCCGGGGAUAACAGGCUGAUACCGCCCAAGAGUUCAUAUCGACGGCGGUGUUUGGCACCUCGAUGUCGGCUCAUCACAUCCUGGGGCUGAAGUAGGUCCCAAGGGUAUGGCUGUUCGCCAUUUAAAGUGGUACGCGAGCUGGGUUUAGAACGUCGUGAGACAGUUCGGUCCCUAUCUGCCGUGGGCGCUGGAGAACUGAGGGGGGCUGCUCCUAGUACGAGAGGACCGGAGUGGACGCAUCACUGGUGUUCGGGUUGUCAUGCCAAUGGCACUGCCCGGUAGCUAAAUGCGGAAGAGAUAAGUGCUGAAAGCAUCUAAGCACGAAACUUGCCCCGAGAUGAGUUCUCCCUGACUCCCUGAGAGUCCUGAAGGAACGUUGAAGACGACGACGUU
rnacentral:rRNA from 1 species